GGGUGAUCUGACGAUCUGGCUAUGACAUCCACUACUCUGAUUGCCAGACUUGAUUCUGGUGACUUGGCUAGCUAGCAGGUGCUCUUGGUCACUCCACAUUCAUCCAUUUUGAAGAUGUGAAUUCAGUGGAAGAGGAGGACCAUCCACCCUGGAAGAGGACAAGUCUUGGGUCAUGAGUAUAUGAUUAGCUUGGCUCUCCUGAUGGAACUUCUAGAUAAGCUAUCAAAUGACUGUUGUGAUUCAAACGAGUCAUUCUGGAAGGUUGUUCAAUAUUUCUCACGUUUCCAGUUUUGCUCUUUGUGUGUUGUAUGCAUGGUGUAUGUAUAUGUGUUCAU
rnacentral:snRNA from 1 species